rnacentral:rRNA from 1 species
UACGAAGGGGGCUAGCGUUGCUCGGAAUCACUGGGCGUAAAGCGCACGUAGGUGGCUUGUUAAGUCAGGGGUGAAAUCCUGGAGCUCAACUCCAGAACUGCCUUUGAUACUGGCGAGCUUGAGUUCGGGAGAGGUGGGUGGAACUGCGAGUGUAGAGGUGAAAUUCGUAGAUAUUCGCAAGAACACCAGUGGCGAAGGCGGCUCACUGGCCCGAUACUGACACUGAGGUGCGAAAGCGUGGGGAGCAAACAGG